GGCAGCAGGUCAGCUUUUGCUAGCUAGUCGUCACUGAAACAAAAUGCAUAUAGGAGUCAAUAAGACCCCUAAAUAAAAUCUUCUACUAAAAUAUAAAUAACUAGCCCAUGGGUUACAGGAUAGGGUAUUAGAAAAAGGGGGGAAACUGUCUGCACAGCAGCAGAAGGCUUAACAAAUUAGCAAUUGUACUAGGAUUGGACACUUUACUCCAUC